rnacentral:rRNA from 1 species
UACGUAGGGUGCAAGCGUUAAUCGGAAUUACUGGGCGUAAAGCGUGCGCAGGCGGUGAUGUAAGACAGAUGUGAAAUCCCCGGGCUUAACCUGGGAACUGCAUUUGUGACUGCAUCGCUGGAGUGCGGCAGAGGGGGAUGGAAUUCCGCGUGUAGCAGUGAAAUGCGUAGAGAUCGGAAAGAACACCAACGGCGAAAGCACUCUGCUGGGCCGACACUGACACUGAGAGACGAAAGCUAGGGGAGCGAAUGGG